UGGAGAAGUGGGCAACGAAUCAAGGGAUUUGGGGAAGAACAAAGCAUUCAAACCAUGAUGAAAACACUCCCUCGAACCAUUUUACCAUGAGAUGGAUAAUGCAACAAGACUUUGUCUGAUGGACCUGAUUGUAGAUGGGUUAAGUUCUACUUUUCAAACAACAAAGGGCUAAGUAAAAUCAGGCCUAACCUCAAUUGGAAAAGCUAUAAUUAUUCCUAAACCAA
rnacentral:lncRNA from 1 species